CCUACGGGAGGCAGCAGUGGGGAAUUUUGCGCAAUGCUCGUAAGAGUGACGCAGCGACGCCGCGUGAGUGAAGAAGUAUUUCGGUAUGUAAAGCUCUGUCAGCAGGGAAGAAAGAAAUGACGGUACCUGACCAAGAAGCCCCGGCUAACUACGUGCCAGCAGCCGCGGUAAUACGUAGGGGGCAAGCGUUAUCCGGAAUUACUGGGUGUAAAGGGAGCGUAGACGGUUAAGUAAGUCUGGAGUGAAAGGCCGGGGCCCAACCCCGGGACUGCUCUGGAAACUAUUGAACUUGAGUGCAGGAGAGGUAAGCGGAAUUCCUAGUGUAGCGGUGAAAUGCGUAGAUAUUAGGAGGAACACCAGUGGCGAAGGCGGCUUACUGGACUGUAACUGACGUUGAGGCUCGAAAGCGUGGGGAGCAAACAGGAUUAGAUACCCUUGUAGUC
rnacentral:rRNA from 1 species